rnacentral:lncRNA from 1 species
UCUGGUUCAAUUUUAGUCAAUGGGUAUUUUUCCUACCAUAUCUGAUUUCUCAGUGAAUUCUUGCCAUUUUCAGUGUUUACAAGCGUGAUUGCUGUGGCUUCUUAUCAUUAUGGCUUCUGAGGUCCGGUAUGGUAGCCCCUGUACUCAUGUGGACAUUUGGUGUUUUUAUUUUCAUUUAAAGAGGCUCGUGUGCCAUCCCAUCUCCUCGAGGCUGGGGGAUCACAAGUUCAGGGCCAGCCUGGCAACGUGGUGGGAUCCUGUCUCAAAAUGAAAAUAAUAAAGGGGGUCAGGGUGUGGCUCAGGGGUAGAGCACUUGCCUAGCGUGUGCUGGGCCCUGGGUUCCUUCCCUAGGACUGAAAAAAUAUUUAGUAUGUAUUUUUAAAGUGCAGACUUUUGAGGUAUAACUAAGACACCAUAAGAUUCCUUCCGUUUUAGCAUACAAUUCACUGGCUUUUAGUGUUGUUAGAAUUGUACGGCCAUAGCACAACUUCAUGCCGCAGUCUGGCUGGGCACAAAUAACCGAGCCGCCACAAAGCCUUGUAGGUUCAAACAGCAACUCUUUAUUCCCCAGCUCUCACCGGCACUGCACACACACUACUCGGGAACACACUCCUUCCACCGGGCUCCGGGCACCGUGCCCAAUCUCCCGGAACCCUCACAAGAACUGCCUGGGAACUCCAAAGUAGCGGGAGCUACAACUCAAUCAACCCAGCAUCACAGCAAUUACACACAGCUUCAAAUCGUCAUCUCAAUGGUUGGCUGGUGUCACCUUUCAACCAUUUCCUCUGGCAAUAGGCCACCGCAUCAUUCUGACUCGGCUGUGGCUCUCAACAACUUCAGAACAUUUUCACCACAACAUUAAGAAACUAAAUACUCUCUAGCCUCACCCCAUCUCCCUCUUCCCCACCUCUAAUACGUAACCUCUAGUCCACCUUCUCUCCAUGGGCCUCUCUACUCUGGAUAUUUCAUAUGAAUAGAAUCACACAGUGUGUGUCCUGCAUGGUUCGUUCAUGUCAGAAUGUGUUGGUGCUGCAUCCCUUUUCCUGACUGAAUACUAUUCCAUUCUAUGGAUGGACCACAUUGUGUUGAGAGCCACAGCCGAGUCGGGAUGACGCAUGGCAUUUUUGCCAGAAGUAGUGGUUGAGAGGUGAUGCCAGCGAGCCAUUAAGAUGAUGACUUUUGAGUUCCCGUUGAGUUCCGGUUGAGCUCUCCCAGAGAUUCCUGAAGAGUUGGCGUUGGUUGGUGAAGUUCCGGUGGUGGGAGUUCCGGUUGGUGUGGUGUGUUCCUGGAGGAGCCCUGUGGGUGGCCUUCGGGAAAGUUCCCGGGAAGUGUGCUGGUGGAGUUCGGAAAUAAAGUUUGUUCCUGCUUGAGUGGCUGGUGAUUUGUGCAACAUUGUGUUUGUUUAUGAAUCCGUUGGUAGACGUGCAGUGUCCC